CAUGGUCAGCUUUCUCUCUCACUCAAAACAAAAGAAACCAGUUUCUUCAUAGCUGCAGCAGAGUCCGGCGACUGGUAGGUGAUCUCCGCGUGAAGUGCACUCCUUGGAUCUAUUGCCGGCCACUGAGAUCGGCAAGGAAGGCACAGCUGAAUCGACGUGUACACGCAGUUCCUCUGCUCCUGAGCUCCUCCGACACACCUGACAGUUUAUCUCACCUGCAUCUCUCUAUGGGAGUUGGGACACGGACCGGGUCGCCUUUCCAUUCCUAGCCACCCGGACUCCCAGAUUGUUGUUGAAUGGAUUAGUGAUGCCUCUUUUUUUGGCACAGGGUGGGAUUUAUUUUGGUGACAGACUAAAUUUUGUUCAUCCCUAAUUAAACCUUUCACUUAACUAUGUCUAUUGCAGGUUAUAUUGUGUUAUUAUACUCACUGAGGUGCAGCCCUUUUCCUCUGAUUUUGUAACUAUACUGUUCGCGACAUCUAUUAGCAUAAAAGUUGCAGUUUGCUCCAUCCAACAUGUUACUGUCAAGCUGCUUUUCCAAAUGGGUCAUUAUAUAACAAAGCAUCGAUUUAUAUGUAUUUGCAGAGUCUAUGAUAGAUAUAGAAGCAUCAAAUUUCAAUAUAUGUCCAUCUUGAAUAUAUUGAAAUUUUGCCUAUUGUUUUUCUUUUCCUAUUAACUCAUUCAUCAAAUGAUUCACUGAGGUGGCCAAAUACAUUACUUUUGUGCAAUACAUAUACAUGCUUCUUUUUUCUCAGUUAAUAGUUUUGUACUACUUGAUCCUGAUUUUUCAUUUGUUGACACAUUUUUUCUUGCCUGCUACAUCUUUCCCAUUUAGAGAAGGCAUGGUAAAUUAUUAUUGCACCCUCACAUAACCGAGGUGAGACUUCUGGAGAAGGCAUGGUAAAUUAUUAUUGCACCCUUACAUAACUGAGGUGAGACUUCUUUUUCAUUUAUUGGAGAAACCCGAUGCUUUAGGAUACACCGUGCUUCACAAUAGAAACAUGCUUAAGUUAUUUUGCUGUACAAUAUUGUUUUUAUUUUUUUAGGAAUCGUUUCACUCAGUUUGCUAUGGUAUUUCCAUAUAAUAUAUAGGAAUACUAUUAUUAAGUCCAUUCCACAUGUUUCUUUCAGGAUAUGUAAUUGCGAACAUAAAGAUGCUCAUUUUAUGGUUAAUACGCUUCCAUGCAAUUGUAGUUGUUAGUUGUAUCGAUUCUAAGUUUCUAAAUGAACUUUUGGUUCUUUUGUAGUUAACAAAAAACUUCCACAUUGAUGAGAUUGAUUCUUAAUAUGAAGUGCUAGGGAUCAGCAGAAAAUGUAACAGUGAGCCACAUCCUAUAAGUAUUCAAACCACUUUUUCAUCAGCAUGAGUAAAAAGGACCGGAGGGAGUACUAUGUCCGUUUUGAGGACCGGCGUUCGAAUGCAUAACACCCUAUCUUCAGUUUUGCUAGCUGUAAGAGAAGGAGUGUGCGCCAAGAUGGGGAUAGGGAAGUGUUCGGCAAUUCAGAAAAAAAGAUGGAAAUAGGAAAAUGUUCAGUAGAUCAUACCAAGGGCUCAUUCUUUUCAGCUCCAGAUUCUCCAGAAUUUUAUUCUGAGAAACUGCCCACAGAAACAGUUGCGUACAGAUUCAGUUGUCCAGUUCUUUUCAGCUAUUGCAGUCCGAGAUUGUUGUA